GGUCAAGUUAUUAAGGGUGCAGGGCGGAUGCCUUGGCACUAGGAGCCGAUGAAGGACGUGAUAAGCUGCGAUAAGCUUCGGGGAGUUGCACGUAAACUUUGAUCCGAAGAUUUCCGAAUGAGGAAACUCACUUAGAGUAAUGUCUAAGUAUCAUUAAGUGAAUACAUAGCUUAAUGAGGGGAACUCAGGGAACUGAAACAUCUAAGUACCUGAAGGAAGAGAAAGAAAUUCGAUUCCGUAAGUAGCGGCGAGCGAACGCGGAUUAGCCCAAACCAAUAAAGUUUUCUUUAUUGGGGUUGCGGACAUAUCAUAACGAAGAGGUAUCGUAAUUGAAGAGGUUUGGAAAGACCCACCACAGAAGGUAAUAGUCCUGUAUGUUAAACGAGAAGACUUCAGAUAUGAUCCAGAGUACCACGGGACACGUGAAACCCUGUGGGAAGCAGGAGGGACCACCCUCCAAGGCUAAAUACUACCUAGUGACCGAUAGCGUAUAGUACCGUGAGGGAAAGGUGAAAAGAACCCCGGGAGGGGAGUGAAAUAGAACCUGAAACCCUGCACUUACAAGCUGUGGAAGCACAUUUCUUGUGUGACCGCGUACUUUUUGUAGAACGGGCCAACGAGUUACGUUAAGUAGCAAGGUUAAGCACUUAAGGUGCGGAGCCGUAGCGAAAGCGAGUUUUAACUGAGCGUUCAGUUACUUGACGUAGACCCGAAACCGGGCGACCUACCCAUGAGCAGGAUGAAGCGAAAGUAAAAUUUCGUGGAGGUCCGAACCCACGAGCGUUGAAAAGCUCGGGGAUGACUUGUGGGUAGCGGUGAAAUUCCAAUCGAGCCCGGAGAUAGCUGGUUCUCCCCGAAAUAGCUUUAGGGCUAGCCUCAAGGUGAGAGAUACGGAGGUAGAGCACUGAAUGUCCUAGGGGGUAUUGCACCUACCGAAGACUAUCAAACUCCGAAUGCCGUCAUCUUAUACUUGGGAGUCAGACUGUGGGUGAUAAGAUUCAUAGUCGAAAGGGCAACAGCCCAGAUCGUCAGCUAAGGUCCCUAAAUGUAAGUUAAGUGGUAAAGGAUGUGGGAUUGCACAGACAACCAGGAUGUUGGCUUAGAAGCAGCCACUCAUUCAAAGAGUGCGUAAUAGCUCACUGGUCGAGUGAUCCUGCGCCGAAGAUUUCCGGGGCUAAAACUUACUACCGAAGCUACGGCAUCAGUAAUGAUGGGUAGGGGAGCUUCCCAUACGGGUUGAAGCAUGACCGUAAGGACAUGUGGACAGUAUGGGAGUGAGAAUGUUGGCAUGAGUAGCGAGAUGUGGGUGAGAAUCCCACAGGCCGUAAACCCAAGGUUUCCAGGGGAAGGUUCGUCCGCCCUGGGUUAGUCGGGACCUAAGCUGAGGCCGAAAGGCGUAGGUGAUGGACAACAGGUUGAUAUUCCUGUACUACCGAUAACCGUUUGAGAGAAGGGAUGACACAGUAGGAUAAGCUAAGCACACUGUUGGUUAUGUGUGCCCAAGCAUUGAGGCAGUCAAAGUAGGCAAAUCCGCUUUGAUAAUGCUGGGAUGUGAUGGGGAGCGAAAUUUAGUAGCGAAGUAGCUGAUUUCACACUGUCAAGAAAAGUCUCUAUCGAGGUUAAAGGUACCCGUACCGCAAACCGACACAGGUGGGUGAGGAGAGUAUCCUAAGGCCAGCGAGAGAACUGUUGUUAAGGAACUCGGCAAAAUGACCCCGUAACUUAGGGAUAAGGGGUGCCACCAUCAGGUGGCCGCAGAGAAUAGGCCCAAGCGACUGUUUACCAAAAACAUAGGUUUCUGCUAAGUCGCAAGACGAUGUAUAGGAGCUGACGCCUGCCCGGUGCUGGAAGGUUAAGGGGAUCUGUUAGAGCAAUCGAAGCAGUGAACUUAAGCCCCAGUAAACGGCGGCCGUAACUAUAACGGUCCUAAGGUAGCGAAAUUCCUUGUCGGGUAAGUUCCGACCCGCACGAAAGGCGUAACGAUUUGGGCACUGUCUCAACAACAGACUCGGUGAAAUUGUAAUUCCGGUGAAGAUGCCGGAUACCUGCGACAGGACGGAAAGACCCCAUGGAGCUUUACUGUAGCUUGACAUUGGGUCUUGGUACUACAUGUACAGGAUAGGUGGGAGGCUUUGAAACCAGGACGCCAGUUUUGGCGGAGCCAUCCUUGGGAUACCACCCUUGUAGUACUGGGACUCUAACCAUAGGCCAUGAAUCUGGUCUUGGGACACUGUCAGGUGGGCAGUUUGACUGGGGCGGUCGCCUCCCAAAAGGUAACGGAGGCGCUCAAAGGUUCUCUCAGUACGGUCGGAAAUCGUACGUAGAGUGUAAAGGCAAAAGAGAGCUUGAUUGCAAGACAUACAGGUCGAGCAAGGAUGAAAAUCGGACUUAGUGAUCCGGUGGUUCUGCGUGGAAGGGCCAUCGCUCAACGGAUAAAAGCUACCCUGGGGAUAACAGGCUUAUCUCCCCCAAGAGUCCACAUCGACGGGGAGGUUUGGCACCUCGAUGUCGGCUCAUCACAUCCUGGGGCUGUAGUAGGUCCCAAGGGUUGGGCUGUUCGCCCAUUAAAGUGGUACGCGAGCUGGGUUCAGAACGUCGUGAGACAGUUCGGUCCCUAUCCGUCGCAGGCGUAGGAAAUUUGAGAAGACCUGUCCUUAGUACGAGAGGACCGGGAUGGACGUACCUCUGGUGUACCAGUUGU
rnacentral:rRNA from 1 species